rnacentral:rRNA from 1 species
GGGAUUGCCUUAGUAGCGGCGAGUGAAGCGGCAAUAGCUCAAAUUUGAAAUCUGGCACCUUCGGUGUCCGAGUUGUAAUUUGAAGAAGGUAUCUUUGGUUUUGGCUCUUGUCUAUGUUUCUUGGAACAGGACGUCAUAGAGGGUGAGAAUCCCGUCUGAUGAGAUGCCCAAUUCCAUGUAAAGUUCCUUCGACGAGUCGAGUUGUUUGGGAAUGCAGCUCUAAGUGGGUGGUAAAUUCCAUCUAAAGCUAAAUAUUGGCGAGAGACCGAUAGCGAACAAGUACUGUGAAGGAAAGAUGAAAAGAACUUUGAAAAGAGAGUGAAAAAGUACGUGAAAUUGUUGAAAGGGAAGGGUUUGAGGUCAGACUUGGUUUACCAGGCCAGCAUCGGUUUAGAUGGCAGGAUAAUGGCAAAGGAAUGUGGCUUGGCUUCGGUCAAGUGUUAUAGCCUCUGUUGAUACUGCCUAUUUAGACCGAGGACUGCGUCUUUGACAAGGAUGCUGGCAUAAUGGCCUUAAGCCACCCGUCUUGAAACACGGACCAAGGAGUCUAACGUCUAUGCGAGUGUUUGGGUGUAAAACCCGUACGCGUAAUGAAAGUGAACGUAGGUGAGAGCCCUUUGGGUGCAUCAUCGACCGAUCCUGAUGUCUUCGGAUGGAUUUGAGUAGAGCAUAGCUGUUAGGACCCGAAGAUGGUGAACUAUGCCUGAAUAGGGGUGAAGCCAGAGGAAACUUCUUGUUG